rnacentral:lncRNA from 1 species
ACUAAGACAAAAAUUGUCUAAUCUCUCCUCUCUUCUCUCUCCCUCUACAAGAAAAACUAAGAAAUGUUUAUCUUCUCAUGGAAAAACUACCUAUGCUUCUCAAAAUUCAAAUGCUUUCCCGUAAUCAAUCUUCCCCCGCCACCUUCCUCAAAACAACCCCAAAAUCCAACAACCACCCUAAUCAAUAACUUCAAUUCCCUCGAUCAUGAUCUCACCACAUCCACCUCCAAUUCCUCCGAUGACCAUUCUUCCUCCGAAUACACCGACGAGUACUCUCUUCCCGACUUUGCCACCGUCUUCGCCUCCCAGCGCUUCUUUUUCUCCUCCCCCGGCCACUCCAACUCCAUCUUCCAUUCCCCUCUUGACCCCGACGACAAUACCCUAGUCGCCGGCAGCGUCGCUGUCCAGACCUACUCGCCGGACCCUUUUCAAGAUUUCCGAAAAUCAAUGCAAGAGAUGGUGGAAGCACGUGAGUUAACAGACGUAAAGGCGGAUUGGGACUUCUUGCACGAGCUUCUACUUUGUUACUUAACCCUUAACCCUAAACACACCCACAAAUUCAUUAUCAAAGCUUUUUCCGAUCUUAUCAUUUCCCUCAUGUCAUCGGAAAGUUGCCGGAGAAUCGAAGACCGUCACCAUUCCACCACCUCACAACGGUUGGUGUAAUAUAUUUAUUUUUUAUAUUUUAAUUAGUUUGUCUUGUGUGAAAAAGAUAUAUGUUUAAUUUCCUCUAUAAAGACAAAAGCCGAAUAUGUAUUAGAAUUACACUAAACCAAGAAAAGCGUGGGACGUGAAUAUUGCAUCGAUGCAUGUAAUUUUUUCUAACGUAUUGUAUGCAUGAAUUUAAAAUGUUAUGCCAGUAAAGAAUGUUUUUCCCUUGUUUGGCUAAAUGUGUUUUCUUGGAAAUAUAUGUUUAUUGCUGAUCAGCUUCUAUUGGUUGAUUUAAAAAUAAAUUAAUAUUGGAGUUUAUUAAAUUGUCCUCAAUUUUGUUUCUGGUCCGUAGAGAGUCCAGACAACUUUCAGGUUUUGAGAUUUUAACAUGUUGGGGAGCCUAAUCCUAUAUAUUGUCCCUUUAUGACGAAGUUUCUCGCUCUAUUUUCUCUAUUGUCUCGAUUUUCUGUAUUGUUUGUGAGCUAUAAAACAGCAAUAUAUGAUCUACCCUUCCCAUUUCAGCAUAUAUAUAUAUAUAUAUAUAUACACACACAUAUAUAUGGUUAUACAUAUAUAUAUGUAUAUGUAUGUAAAUGGUGCAAAGACAAUAAUUUUUGCGUAAGAUUGGGUGCAAAUUGGAAACUGUAUACUGUAUAUUAUUGUCGGUUGUAUCUUGUAUACUGCCAAAACCAAAUGCAUUGUAUAGAAAAUAUAUAUGAUAGUCCAUAAUAGUAAUGCACUGUCCUGAUCAUGCAGUCAUGCACGUGUACACAACUAGAAAUAUCUGAUCAAAUAAGUAGAUAAGUUUUAAGAUUUAUCGAGUUAAACCUAGCUCCCCCAUCCCAACCCUUAAAAAAAAUUGGAUUCAUAAAUCUUUAAUCAAGUACUAUAUGUAACAGUUACGGCCUACGGGUGAAUCUGGUGAAUCUUGAUCCGAUUUAAUUAAAUGAUAAUUAUAAUUAAAAAUUCAGUUACAACAUAGUCAUGAUCUUGGAGAGCUGAUAGGUUAAGAUUAGCGAACCUCGACAUAUAUUCUAUUUAUUUAUUAAUUAUAAUUCUAUGUUGAACCGAUCCAAUUAGCCUUUAUUACUAGUUGGAUUCACAAUCACAUUUUAUAGCCAGAUAGAUGCAAUAUAUAUAUCCCACAAAUUACACGUAACUUAAAUACACAAGUAUUUUUUUCACUUGACAGCCGUAUAGUAUAGGUUCUCCAAAAUUAGCUAUUAGCUUUUCAUUUUAGCCGAGGUCAUGCAUGCCAAACAUUGAAGAAUAAUGAACAUAUAUAAAUAUAUACUGACCUGUUUAUAUACCAUUGUUCAUGAAUAUGUGUUGGUACUGUAACAU